rnacentral:rRNA from 1 species
ACGAACGCUGGCGGCAUGCCUAACACAUUCAAGUCGCACGAGACCUUCGGGUCUAGUGGCGCACGGGUGCGUAACGCGUGGGAACCUGCCCUUAGGUUCGGAAUAACUCCCCGAAAGGGGUGCUAAUACCGGAUAAUGUCUUCGGACCAAAGAUUUAUCGCCUUUGGAUGGGCCCGCGUUGGAUUAGCUAGUUGGUAGGGUAAAAGCCUACCAAGGCGACGAUGCAUAGCUGGUCUGGGAGGAUGAUCAGCCACACUGGGGCUGAGACACGGCCCAGACUCCGACGGGAGGGAGCAGUGGGGAAUAUUGGACAAUGGGCGAAAGCCUGAUCCAGCAAUGCCGCGUGAGUGAUGAAGGCGUUAGGGUUGUAAAGCUCUUUUACCCGGGAUGAUAAUGACAGUACCGGGAGAAUAAGCACCGGCUAACUCCGUG